rnacentral:lncRNA from 1 species
ACCCAUCAUCAAGUAUUGUAUCAUAAACUCAGCCGAUAUUCAGUAAUACUAUACUAUGAUGAGAGCAAGGGUUCCACUGCUACUGUUGUUGGGAAUUCUUUUCCUGGCAUCACUUUCUGUCACCUUCGGCAUUGUUCACCGGGAGCACCAACAGAGCCAGGAAGAGUCGGAUUCAAGAGGAAGAAACAACCCCUUCUACUUCAACUCUGACAGGUUCCAUACUCUGUACACAAACGAAUAUGGUCACCUUCGUGUGCUCCAGAGGUUCGACCAACGCUCCAAACAAAUUCAGAAUCUUGAAAACUACCGUCUUGUAGAGUUCAAGUCCAAACCCAACACCCUCCUUCUUCCUCACCAUGCUGAUGCCGAUUUUCUCCUAGUUGUCCUUAACGGUAAGUAAUCAUCUAAUCCCUACUGACUGAACUUCAUCCCACUAGCUUCUCCUGCACGAAUGAUAAUAAUCAAUUUGUUAAUUACAGGGAGAGCCGUACUCACCUUGGUGAAUGCUGACGGCAGAGACUCCUACAUUCUUGAGCAAGGCCAUGCCCAGAGAAUCCCUGCAGGAACCAUUUUCUUUGUGGUUAACCCUAACGACAACGAAAAUCUCAGAAUAAUCAAAAUGGCCGUACCUGUUAACAACCCUCACAGAUUUCAAGUACUACCUUUUGUAAUUCUCAACUAACUUUUUUUAUUCUAACUUGCAUUUUCUCUCUAAAUGUAACGAUAAAUGUUUGUCAUGUAGGACUUUUUCUUAUCUAGCACAGAAGCCCAACAAUCCUACUUGCAAGGGUUCAGCAAGAAUGUUCUAGAGGCCUCCUUCGAUGUAAGCAAGAAAACAACAUCUAAUUACACAUUUGUUUCCAUUUAGGUUUUCUAAUUUUCAGUCUUGUUGAAUGAUAUAUAUAUUUGGCACGAAUUUUGU